AUUCUAAAUUUAUAAUAGAAUUUUAUUUUUUAGUCAAAAAGCUAAAAUUUAUUUAAAAGACGAGAAGACCCUAUAAAUCUUUAUAUUUAAUUUAUUAUGAUUUUAUAGAUUAUUUUUGUUAUAAUAAUUAAUAAUAUUUUAUUGGGGUGAUAUUAAAAUUUAAUAAACUUUUAAUUAUUAAAAUCAUUAAUUAAUGAGUAAUUGAUCCGUUAAUAACGAUUAAAAAAUUAAGUUACCUUAGGGAUAACAG
rnacentral:rRNA from 1 species